AUUGAACGCUGGCGGCAUGCCUUACACAUGCAAGUCGAACGGCAGCAUGGAGAGCUUGCUCUCUGAUGGCGAGUGGCGAACGGGUGAGUAACACGUGGGUGAUCUGCCCUGCACUUCGGGAUAAGCCUGGGAAACUGGGUCUAAUACCGGAUAGGACCACUGCCUGCAUGGGUGGUGGUGGAAAGCUUUUGCGGUGUGGGAUGGGCCCGCGUCCUAUCAGCUUGUUGGUGGGGUGAUGGCCUACCAAGGCGACGACGGGUAGCCGGCCUGGGGGGGUGACCGGCCACACUGGGACUGAGAUACGGCCCAGACUCCUACGGGAGGCAGCAGUGGGGAAUAUUGCACAAUGGGCGCAAGCCUGAUGCAGCGACGCCGCGUGAGGGAUGACGGCCUUCGGGUUGUAAACCUCUUUCAGCACCGACGAAGCGCAAGUGACGGUAGGUGCAGAAGAAGGACCGGCCAACUACGUGCCAGCCGCCGCGGUAA
rnacentral:rRNA from 1 species